rnacentral:rRNA from 1 species
GAUGAACGCUAGCGACAGGCUUAACACAUGCAAGUCGAGGGGCAUCGGGGAGUAGCAAUACUCUGCCGGCGACCGGCGCACGGGUGCGUAACGCGUAUGCAACUUACCUUACAGAGGGGGAUAACCCGUUGAAAGACGGACUAACACCGCAUAUUCUUAUAUUAUCGCAUGAUAGAGUAAGGAAAUAUUUAUAGCUGUAAGAUAGGCAUGCGUCCCAUUAGCUAGUUGGUAGGGGUAACGGCUCACCAAGGCAACGAUGGGUAGGGGAACUGAGAGGUUUAUCCCCCACACUGGUACUGAGACACGGACCAGACUCCUACGGGAGGCAGCAGUGAGGAAUAUUGGUCAAUGGGCGAGAGCCUGAACCAGCCAAGUCGCGUGAAGGAUGAAGGUCUUAUGGAUUGUAAACUUCUUUUGCGGGAGAAUAACGGGCGCUACGAGUAGUGUUAUGAAUGUAUCCCAGCGAAUAAGCAUCAGCUAACUCCGUGCCAGCAGCCGCGGUAAUACGGAGGAUGCGAGCGUUAUCCGGAUUUAUUGGGUUUAAAGGGUGCGUAGGCGGCUUUUUAAGUCGGCGGUGAAAGGUUCGGGCUCAACCCGGACAUUGCCGUUGAAACUGGGGAGCUUGAGUAUGGAUGAGGUAGGCGGAAUGCGUGGUGUAGCGGUGAAAUGCAUAGAUAUCACGCAGAACUCCGAUUGCGAAGGCAGCUUACUAAGGCAUUACUGACGCUGAAGCACGAAAGCGUGGGUAUCAAACAGG